rnacentral:rRNA from 1 species
UACGUAGGGUGCGAGCGUUGUCCGGAAUUAUUGGGCGUAAAGGGCUCGUAGGCGGUUUGUCGCGUCGGGAGUGAAAACCCGGGGCUUAACUCUGGGCUUGCUUUCGAUACGGGCAGACUAGAGGUAUGCAGGGGAGAACGGAAUUCCUGGUGUAGCGGUGAAAUGCGCAGAUAUCAGGAGGAACACCGGUGGCGAAGGCGGGUCUCUGGGCCGAUACUGACGCUGAGGAGCGAAAGCGUGGGGAGCGAACAGG